AGUAAUAUAAUCUAAUUUAAGAUGAUAAACUGUAAAUUUAUUUAUGAACAAUUAUGUUCUUUUACUA
rnacentral:tRNA from 1 species